rnacentral:rRNA from 1 species
CACUUUCGUUAAUUGAUUUUGAGAUGCUUGCAUCGAAGAUGAUUUUAACUAUAAAGUGAGUGGCGAACGGGUGAGUAACACGUGGGUAACCUGCCCAGAAGUGGGGGAUAACACCUGGAAACAGAUGCUAAUACCGCAUAACAAAAUUAACCGCAUGGUUGAUUUUUAAAAGAUGGCUUCGGCUAUCACUUCUGGAUGGACCCGCGGCGUAUUAGCUAGUUGGUGAGAUAAAGGCUCACCAAGGCAGUGAUACGUAGCCGACCUGAGAGGGUAAUCGGCCACAUUGGGACUGAGACACGGCCCAGACUCCUACGGGAGGCAGCAGUAGGGAAUCUUCCACAAUGGACGCAAGUCUGAUGGAGCAACGCCGCGUGAGUGAUGAAGGCUUUCGGGUCGUAAAACUCUGUUGUUGGAGAAGAACGUGUGUGAGAGUAACUGCUCAUGCAGUGACGGUAUCCAACCAGAAAGCCACGGCUAACUACGUGCCAGCAGCCGCGGUAAUACGUAGGUGGCAAGCGUUAUCCGGAUUUAUUGGGCGUAAAGCGAGCGCAGGCGGUCUUUUAAGUCUAAUGUGAAAGCCUUCGGCUUAACCGAAGAAGUGCAUUGGAAACUGGGAGACUUGAGUGCAGAAGAGGAGAGUGGAACUCCAUGUGUAGCGGUGAAAUGCGUAGAUAUAUGGAAGAACACCAGUGGCGAAGGCGGCUCUCUGGUCUGCAACUGACGCUGAGGCUCGAAAGCAUGGGUAGCGAACAGGAUUAGAUACCCUGGUAGUCCAUGCCGUAAACGAUGAAUGCUAAGUGUUGGAGGGUUUCCGCCCUUCAGUGCUGCAGCUAACGCAUUAAGCAUUCCGCCUGGGGAGUACGACCGCAAGGUUGAAACUCAAAAGAAUUGACGGGGGCCCGCACAAGCGGUGGAGCAUGUGGUUUAAUUCGAAGCUACGCGAAGAACCUUACCAGGUCUUGACAUCUUCUGCUAACCUAAGAGAUUAGGCGUUCCCUUCGGGGACGGAAUGACAGGUGGUGCAUGGUUG